rnacentral:rRNA from 1 species
GAGUUUGAUCGUGGCUCAGGAUGAACGCUGGCGGCGUGCCUAACACAUGCAAGUCGAACGGAUCCAUAUUGAAACCUAGUGAUGUAUGGAUUAGUGGCGGACGGGUGAGUAACGCGUGGAUAACCUGCCGUAUACAGGGGAUAACACUUAGAAAUAGGUGCUAAUACCGCAUAAGCGCACGGUUCCGCAUGGAACAGUGUGAAAAACUCCGGUGGUAUACGAUGGAUCCGCGUCUGGUUAGCCAGUUGGCGGGGUAACGGGCCCACCAAAGCGACGAUCAGUAGCCGGCCUGAGAGGGUGAACGGCCACAUUGGGACUGAGACACGGCCCAAACUCCUACGGGAGGCAGCAGUGGGGAAUAUUGCACAAUGGGGGAAACCCGUGAUGCAGCGACGCCGCGUGAGUGAAGAAGUAUUUCGGUACGUAAAGCUCUAUCAGCAGGGAAGAAAAACCGGCCUUAGGGCCGCCAGACGGUACCUGACUAAGAAGCCCCGGCUAACUACGUGCCAGCAGCCGCCGCCGUAAG